GCGCUCACUUUGGCAGCGCAUAUACUAAAAUUAGAACAAUGCAGAGAUUAACAUGGCCCCUGUGCGAGAAUGACAUAUAAAUUUGUGAGGUAUUCGACAUACAG
ensembl:snRNA U6 U6 spliceosomal RNA